rnacentral:lncRNA from 1 species
AUGAAAGAAACAUACCAUUAACAAGGUUUAUUUUGUUAUUUUGUUUAUUUUCAGAUGAUGAAAGAAAUAUAUAUGUUGUUAUUCUGUUUAUUUUCUUCUUUAUUAUAUCUUAUAUAGGUAAUUUAAGUUUUAUUUAUGUAUUUUUUUGUAGACAACCUGAAGAUGAAGAAAAUGAUAAUUAAUCAUACACCAGAAAGUGCCUCUAAUACAUGGGGUCGUGUAGUCAAUCAUCCACCAGCUCCUCAAGUCCAAUCCUCUCCUUCUCUAUUUUCACCUCAAAGUACAGCUCCUGAAGUCCAAUCCUCUCCUUCUCUAUCUACAUUUGUUCAAUCAUCAGUUCAAGUUAAUGUAAGUGUUCUGUUUCUAGUCCUUUAUUGGUACAAGGUUGAAUUGUUCUUGAAUUUAAAUUUAUCUUGAAUUGUUCAAUUUGAUAGGAUAGAUUUGUUCAGACUCCCAAGUUGAAAGAUGGUUUCCUUUUCUUUUUCCAAAAGGAAAACCAGUGCAUUCAAUUUAAAACUCUCUUUCACAUUUAUCCUUUAUCCAGUUAAAAUCACCCUAAUCUCCAUACUUUUCACGAUGCUCAUGUCCACCUCACAAUAACUCUUUGCAAUAAACCACUCUCCACCUCUAAAUCUUUUUUUCAUUUCUUAACUACGUACAUUAUGACAAAACCACACAAUUAAAAAAACCUCACUGUAUACCUUUCCUUUCUCUUUCUUUUCACUUAUUUCAUAAACCCUCUUAGUUUCUCAACAGCCGCAACCAUUCUUUGUCAAUGGAAGGAAACACUCUUUGGAUUCUAUAAAAUAUAAUUUCUCCAUCACUUCACAAGUUCCAAAUGUCAUGCACGAAAGCCACUUCUUUCUUCAUGUACCAUGCACAUGUAUAACGUGUAAUAAGAGAAGAUGCACAUGCAUGAAAAUUACUAGAAUCU